UUGGCAUACCGCAAAAUAUGGUAAAAACGACCCAACGAGUCCAAGGAAACCAAUCUGCUAUCCCAAUGAUCCUUUUGCACUGUCGUUGACACAAAAAUGAACAAGGAGAACCGAUUGUGCGGCUGAAGUAAACUUGCUCAUCUACACUUCUCUGCAAGGAUAAAUGUGGACUUUAUGAAGCACUGAUUCUCCAAGGCAUUUGCACUGUUUUGUUUUUGGUUUUUCUGUUGAUUUUAUGUUUU
rnacentral:lncRNA from 1 species